GUAGUUAGCCGGGGCUUCCUCCUUGGCUACCGUCACUUUCUUCGUCACCAAGGACAGAGGUUUACAACCCGAAAGCCUUCUUCCCUCACGCGGCGUUGCUGGGUCAGGCUUGCGCCCAUUGCCCAAUAUUCCCCACUGCUGCCUCCCGUAGGAGUCUGGACCGUGUCUCAGUUCCAGUGUGGCCGAUCAGCCUCUCAGCUCGGCUACCCAUCGUCGGCAUGGUGGGCCUUUACCCCGCCAUCUACCUAAUGGGACGCGAACCCCUCCUAAAGCGAUAAAUCUUUGACCCCUCUGCCAUGCGACAGUGUGGUCUUAUGCGGUAUUAGCAUCAAUUUCUCGAUGUUGUCCCCACUUUAGGUCAGGUUGUUCACGCGUUACUCACCCGUUCGCCACUAAGCUAUCAAACCGAAAUCCAAUAGCUCCGUUCGACUUGCAUGUGUUAGGCACGCCGCCAGCGUGUCUCAGCACGAAUACAACACUGA
rnacentral:rRNA from 1 species